CUGCCUUUUUUUUAAAAAAGAGAGAGAGGACGUCCCCUUCGGGGGCAGAGUGCUUGGAAAGGAAGGGGUGUCGUCAGCUCGUGUCGUGAGAUGUUGGGUUAAGUCCCGCAACGAGCGCAACCCUUGAUCUUUUUUCCAAGCAUUCAGUUGGGCACUCUAAGGUGACUGCCGGUGACAAACCGGAGGAAGGUGGGGAUGACGUCAAAUCAUCAUGCCCCUUAUGACCUGGGCUACCACGUGCUACAAUGGACAGAACAAAGGGCAGCGAAACCCCGAGGUUAAGCCAAUCCCACAAAUCUGUUCCCCCUUCGAUCGAAUCUGCACUCACUGCCGGAAGCUGGAACGCUAGAAUCGCGGACAACCUGCCCGGUGAUUUUUCCCGGCCUGUACCCCGCCGUA
rnacentral:rRNA from 1 species